GCUCGGAUGGCGAAAUUGGCAGACGCGCUAGACUUAGGAUCUAGUGGAGCGAUCCAUGGGGGUUCGAGUCCCCCUCCGAGCACCA
rnacentral:tRNA from 1 species